AAGGAUCAUUACUGUGAUUUAACAUCUUCCACACGUGCGUGAGCGCAAGCAAAACACGAAAAAACUGUAGUACGAGAGUCAAAACAAACCAAAAAACAAAACUUUCAACAACGGAUCUCUUGGUUCUCGCAUCGAUGAAGAGCGCAGCGAAAUGCGAUACCUAGUGUGAAUUGCAGCCAUCGUGAAUCAUCGAGUUCUUGAACGCACAUUGCGCCCUCUGGUAUUCCGGAGGGCAUGCCUGUUUGAGCGUCGUUUCCUUCUUGCUUGCGAGCAGAAAUGGGGGGGCCCUGGCAUUGGGGCCGCUCUGAAAAGAAACGUUGCGGGCGAAGCGAACUAUGAGUAGGACGCUUGGCCGCCGAACUUAAUACAUAAGCUCGACCUCAAAUCAGGUAGGAAUACCCGCUGAACUUAAGCAUAUCAAUAAGCGGAGGAAAAGAAACCAACAGGGAUUGCCUCAGUAGCGGCGAGUGAAGCGGCAAAAGCUCAGAUUUGAAAUCGUGUUUCGGCACGAGUUGUAGAUUGCAGGUUGGAGUCUUUGUGGAAGCGUGUGUCUAAGUCCCUUGGAACAGGGUGCCAUUGAGGGUGAGAGCCCCGUGAGACGCGUGCGGAAGCUGUAAGGCCCUUCUGACGAGUCGAGUUGUUUGGGAAUGCAGCUCUAAGUGGGUGGUAAAUUCCAUCUAAGGCUAAAUAUUGGCGAGAGACCGAUAGCGAACAAGUACUGUGAAGGAAAGAUGAAAAGCACUUUGAAAAGAGAGUGAAACAGCACGUGAAAUUGUUGAAAGGGAAGGGUAUUGGGCUCGACAUGGGAUUUGCGCACCGCUGCUCCUUGUGGGCGGCGCUCUGUGCUUUUCCUGGGCCAGCAUCGGUUUUUGCCGCAGGAGAAGGCGUGCUGGAAUGUGGCUCUUCGGAGUGUUAUAGCCAGUGCGAGAUGCUGCGUGCGGGGACCGAGGACUGCGACAUCUGUCUCGGAUGCUGGCACAACGGCGCAAUACCGCCCGUCUUGAAACAUGGACCAAGGAGUCUAACGUCUAUGCGAGUGUUUGGGUGUGAAACCCGUACGCGUAAUGAAAGUGAACGUAGGUCGGACCCUUUGGGGGCACGAUCGACCGAUCCUGAUG
rnacentral:rRNA from 1 species